AGACGUCUACAUUAGACUACCCGGUAGUCCCAGCCGUAAACUAUGCGCGUUAGGUGUAUCGGUGACCACGAGUUACCGAGGUGCCGAAGGGAAACCGUGAAACGUGCCGCCGUGGGAAGUACGGUCGCAAGGCUAGAAACUUAAAGGAAUUGGCGGGGAGCACCACAACGGGUGGAGCCUGCGGUUUAAUUGGACUCAACGCCGGGAAGCUCACCGGAUAAGACAGCGGAAUGAUUGCCGGGCUGAAGACUCUGCAUGACUAGCUG
rnacentral:rRNA from 1 species